rnacentral:rRNA from 1 species
GACGAACCGUGCGAACGUUAUUCGGAAUCACUGGGCUUAAAGGGCGCGUAGGCGGAUUUGCAAGUCUGCGGUGAAAUCCUCCAGCUUAACUGGAGAAGUGCCGUGGAUACUGCGAGUCUCGAGGAAGGUAGGGGAGAUCGGAAUUCCUGGUGUAGCGGUGAAAUGCGCAGAUAUCAGGAGGAACACCGGUGGCGAAGGCGGAUCUCUGGGCCUUGCCUGACGCUGAGGCGCGAAAGCUAGGGGAGCGAACAGG